GUAGUCCACGCCGUAAACGAUGAAUACUAGGUGUGGGAGGUACCAACCUUCCGUGCCGUCGUUAACACAAUAAGUAUUCCGCCUGGGGAGUACGGUCGCAAGAUUAAAACUCAAAGGAAUUGACGGGGGCCCGCACAAGCAGCGGAGCAUGUGGUUUAAUUCGAAGCAACGCGAAGAACCUUACCUAGACUUGACAUCUCCUGAAUUACCCGUAACUGGGGAAGCUCUUCGGAGCAGGAAGACAGGUGGUGCAUGGUUGUCGUCAGCUCGUGUCGUGAGAUGUUGGGUUAAGUCCCGCAACGAGCGCAACCCUUAUUGUUAGUUGCUACCAUUAAGUUGAGCACUCUAGCGAGACUGCCGGGGUUAACUCGGA
rnacentral:rRNA from 1 species